AGCGAACGCUGGCGGCAGGCUUAACACAUGCAAGUCGAACGGGCACUUCGGUGCUAGUGGCAGACGGGUGAGUAACGCGUGGGAACGUACCUUUCGGCUCGGAAUAAUUCAGGGAAACUUGGACUAAUACCGGAUACGCCCUUUGGGGGAAAGAUUUAUCGCCGAUAGAGCGGCCCGCGUCUGAUUAGCUAGUUGGUGGGGUAAUGCCUCACCAAGGCGACGAUCAGUAGCUGGUCUGAGAGGAUGAUCAGCCACAUUGGGACUGAGACACGGCCCAAACUCCUACGGGAGGCAGCAGUGGGGAAUAUUGGACAAUGGGCGCAAGCCUGAUCCAGCCAUGCCGCGUGAGUGAUGAAGGCCUUAGGGUUGUAAAGCUCUUUUGUCCGGGAAGAUAAUGACUGUACCGGAAGAAUAAGCCCCGGCUAACUUCGUGCCAGCCGCCGCAGUAAUAC
rnacentral:rRNA from 1 species